AGUGGAGACUAUGGGUUAGGUUAAUGGUUAUGGAAAACAACGGAGUCCCAGGAGUAAGGCUAUCUCAAGUUUUUCUGAUCUUGAUAUUUUGCUGGGGUAUAUAAGCUGGAAAGAAAACAAUAAAGAAACACAGAAGGGAAGCACCAGGGAAGAAGAACAGAACAGAAAAACAACAGAGGAGGACAAGCAACAAAGAGAAUAACAAACUGAAGAAGGUCAUAUGAUACAGCUCUAUAAAGCCUGGAGGUCACUAUUCAAAUGCAUGGAAAUCAGACUCAGCCUGACUAAACAUGUCGUGGUGAACACCUUUAAUCCCAGACUCAGGAGACAGAGGCAGAGGUGGGUCUCUGUGUA